CGCACAGCGGCGGAGAGGCGCACAGCGGCGGCGCAGGCGCGGAGAGGCGCACAGCGCAGGCGCUGGCGCGGAGAGGCGCAGGCCCAGGUCCACUCCCCAGCUGUGAAAGGAGGAGCUCUACGGUGACUUUGAAGACUUGGAAACAGGGGACAUGCACAAGGGAAAAUCGGGCCCCGACACUCAGAAUGAAGAUAUAGAGAAACAAGGAAGAAAUUGACCCCGACGAAGAAGAAAGUGCCAAGAAAAAGCAUUUGGAUAAGAAGAGAAAAUUGAAGGAGAUGUUUGAUGCGGAAUAUGAUGAAGGAGAAAGCACAUAUUUUGAUGAUCUUAAAGGAGAAAUGCAGAAAGAAGCACAGGUGAUCAGUGGCCCGUGUGGCUUAUGGACACACCAGAGCUCCCAGGGGAAGUGCUCUGAAAACUCAUCCUGGUCAGAGUUCAGAAGGACACGUGGAGUAUAAGGUCAGAUGCGGAGAUAAAGGGAGAUGGUGUGGCCCUCCUGCCUGGGGUUGCUGAGCAGGUUGCUGGAGACAGUGAUGUCACUCUGAAGGAGACAGACACAGAAACGUGUGUACAGUUGAUGCUGAAUCACGUAGAAUUUGAAGAUCAAGAUGAUGAAGCCAGAGUUCAGUAUGAUGGUUUUCGACCUGGGAUGUACGUCCGCGUUGAGAUUGAAAAUGUUCCCUGUGAAUUUGUGCAGAACUUUGACCCCCAUUACCCCAUUAUCCUGGGUGGCUUGGGCAACAGCGAGGGAAAUGUUGGACACGUGCAGAUGCGUCUGAAGAAACAUCGCUGGUAUAAGAAAAUCCUCAAGUCCCAAGAUCCAAUCAUAUUUUCUGUAGGGUGGAGGAGGUUUCAGACCAUCCUGCUCUAUUAUAUUGAAGACCACAAUGGAAGACAAAGGCUUCUAAAGUAUACCCCACAGCACAUGCAUUGUGGAGCAGCCUUUUGGGACCCUAUCACUCCACAGGGAACUGGUUUCUUGGCAAUACAGUCUGUCAGUGGCAUAAUGCCUGAUUUUCGGAUAGCUGCCACAGGAGUUGUCCUUGAUCUGGAUAAAUCCAUAAAAAUUGUGAAGAAAUUAAAGCUAACUGGUUUUCCAUAUAAAAUUUUCAAGAACACUUCAUUUAUUAAGAUAUUGUCUUCAUGCGAACUUGGUAUCCUGUUUCCAUCCCAGCCUUCUAUAACCCAGUAACAUCUUUGUUGAAACCAGUGGGUGAGAAAGACACCUGGUCAGGAAUGUGGACCACGGGCCACCUCGGGCUCGCCCAUGGUGUCAGACUAAAGACAAACAAGGACUCUCUGUAUAAGGUACUGGUCGUGUGUGUGUUAGUGGAGAUGAAGCCUGUGCCCUACAGACAGGGAGUCACGCAGACACUUUUCUAUAAUUUCUUACGUACUUUGAAUGUUCAAGUAUAAAGUCUAAUGUUAAAUUUGAUUGAACAAUUGUAUAUUUGUGGGAUAUUUUGGAAUGGAACACCAAAAAAUGGUAAUAGUGGUUCUUUCUGGAUUGAAGACAAACUUUUCUUUUUUAAAAUAAAUUUUAUUUUAUAUAUUUGAGGUUGACAACAUGAUCUUAAAGGAUAAAUAUAGAUAGUAAACUGGUUACUAUAGUGAAGCAAAUUAACAUAGCUACCAUCUCACAUAGUUAGAUUUUUGUUUGUGUGACAGGAACAGCUAAAAUCUACUUAUUUAACAAAAAUCCCAAAGACAAUAUAUUUUUAUUAACUAUAGCCCUCAUGAUGUACACUAGAUCUCUAACUUGUUCAUCCUACAUGUCUGCUACUUUGUAUUAUUUUAAUGUACAUCUCCCCAUUUCCUACUGGUCAUUUCCUAUUUGGCCCAUUUUUCAACUGGGUUGUUUUUCUGCUAUUAAGUUGUAAGAGUUCUUUACUGAUUUUUGGAUAUUAACACUUUAUCAGAUAUGUGGUUUGCAAAUAUUUCUUCCAGUCUAUAGGUUCCCCUUUCAUUUUGUUGGUUGUUCCUUUGCUGUGCAGAAGCUUUUUAGUUUGAUGCAGUCCUCCUUGUUUAUGUUUACAUUUGUAGCCUGGCUUGUGGUGCGAUAUCCAAAAAAUUAUUGCUAAGGCCAAUGUCAAGAGGCUUUCCCCCUAUGUUUUCUUCUAGGAGUUUUAUGGUUUCAGGUCUUAUUUGGGUCUUUGGUCUUGUAUCUGUUUUGAGUUGAUUUUUGUGUAUGGUGUAUGAUCAGGGUCGAAUUUUAUUCUUUUGCAUGUGAAAAUCCUAUUAUUGAAGAAACUAUCUUUUUUACCAUUGUGUUGUCUUGUUUGCCCUUGUCAAAAAUUAGUUGACAGUAUAUGUUUGGAUUUAUUUCAAAGGUCUCUGUUCUGUUCCAUUGGUCUAUUUUUUUGUUUUUAUGCCAGCACCAUACUGUUUUGAUUACUAUAGCUUUGUAAUACAAUUUUAAAUCAAGAGGUGUGAUGCCUCCAACUUUUUCUUUCACAGUUAUCUGUUGGCUGUUUGGGGUUUUUUGCGGUUCCAUAUGAGUUUCAGGAUUGUUUUUUCUUUUCUUUUAUUUAUUUAUUUUUUUUUUUGAGGUGAAGUCUCACUCUGUCACCCAAGCUGGAGUGCAGUGGCAUAAUCUCGGCUCACUAAAACCUCUGCCUCCUGGAUUCAAGCAAUUCUUCUGCCUCAGCCUCCCAGGUAGCUGGGACUACAGGCACAUGCCACUAUGCCUGGCCAAUUUUUGUAGUUUUAGUAGAGACAGGGUUUCACUAUGUUGGCCGGGCUGGUCUCCAACUCCUGACCUCGUGAUCCGCCCACUGCGGUCUCCCAAAGUGCUGGAAUUACAGGCGUGAGCCACUGUGCCUGGCCAGGAUUGUUUUAUUCUGUUCUGUGAAGAAUGUCAUCAGAACUUUGAUGAGGAUUGUGUUAAAUCUGUAUAUUUGCUUUGGGUAGUGUGAACAUUUUAACAAUAUUAAUUCUUCUGAUCCAUAAACAUAGGAUGUCUUUUCAUUUGUUCAUGUCUAAAUUUCUUUCAUCAAUGUUUUAUGGUUUUUAAGUGUACACAUCUCUCACCUUCUUGGUUAAAUUUAUUCCUAAGUUUUUGUUUUUCUUUGAUGCUAUAGUAAAUGAGAUUAUUUUCUUCAUUGCUUCGUCAGCUAGGUUAUUUGUAUACAGAAAUGCAACUGAUUUUUAUAUGUUGAGUUUAUACCUUGCAGCUUAACUGAAUUGAUUUAGUAGUUCUCACAGUUUUUUGUGGAAUCUUUGGAGUUUUUUACGUAAAGGAUCUUGUCAUCUGCAAAUAGAGAUAAUUUUACUUCUUUAAUUUAGUUGCCUUUUUUUCUCAUCUGAUUGCUCUUGCAAGCACUCUAUUGAAUAAAAGUGAUGAGGCUGGCCAUCCCUAUCUUGUACUCAAUCUUAGUGGAAAAGCUUUAGUUGUUCCCCACUAACUAUGAUUAGACUGUGGGUUUUUCAUAAAUGGUCUUUAUUAUGUUGAGGAACUUUCCUUCUAUACAUAAACUAUUAAGAGGUUUUAUCAAGAAAGGUUGCUAAACUUUGUUAAAUGCUUUUACUGAAUCAAUUGAGGUGACCAUGUCAUUUUAUCUUUCAUUUUGUUAAUGUGAUAUAUCACAUUGAUUGAUUUACAUAUUUUAAACCAGCCUUGCAUGCCAGGGAUAAAUCCCACUUAAACACGAUGUAUAAUGUUUUUGAUGUGUUGUUGAAUUCUAUUUGCUAAAAUUUUUUUAGGAUGUUUGCAUCAGUAUUUAAUUUAUUGGAGAAGUUGACCUGUAGUUUUUGUUUGGUGUGUGUGUGUGUGUGUGUGUGUGUGUGUGUGUGUGUGUGUGUGUGUUUUGGUUUGGCUUAGGUAUUAAGGUGAUACUGGCCUGGUAAAAUGUGUUUGGAAUUAUUUCCUCUCACUCUGUUUUUGCGAAGAGUUUAAGAAGUAAACUCCCAGGGGAUGGGAGUGGCUCUGGACAUGGGAGUGACAUGAUAGUGACUCUGGACCCUGCAGUGGUGGGACACAGCAGCAUCUCAGUCUCUGUAAGGCCAGGCGCAGCAUCAGCAAGGACCCCAGAAUGGUGGAGCACUACUGUGGCUUGGGCCCUUGGGGGCAGGGACCAGUGCAGCAACUACUUCUCUCCCUGGGGAGGCAGGUGCCUGGGCAACUCAGAUUCUCUAGGGCUAGUCCAGUUCCAAGGAAGCAGGGUUCUACAGUUGUUUGUCCUGAAGGGCAAGGUACCCCAGUUCAGCCAAUGCUGUUUUCCUGGGAUAUGGGGGUGCCAUGUUGGCUCAUCCCUGGCAGGUGUGGCUGCUCAGCUCAGCCAAGUCACUGAUUCCCUGUGAAGCAGGGCAGUGCUUCAGCUCUCGUGCAGUGGGGGAUGUGACUGCUCAGACUGGCCAAGGCACUGACUCCCUGGAAAGCAGGGCACCAAGUCAGCUCAGGCUCCAAGGGGCAGGGCGCAAUGGCAGCUGGGAGGGGAGGGGCACAGCAGCGUGGCCCCGCAGGUGGGGUGUAUGCUGUGAUGUGGACAUCAUUUGUUCCCACCAGCCAUUUGAAAUUUCAUCCAUUUGAGAUUUGAUUCCAAAUGUGGUGGUGUGGGAGGUGGGGCCUAGUGGGAGUUAUUUGGGUCACAGGGCAGAUCCUUUAUGAAUAGAUUAAUGCCUUUUCAUGGGACUGGAUUAGUUACCAGGAGUGGAUUGUUAUCAGAGUGAGUUCAGCUUCCUAGACUCUCGUGUUUCCUCUCUUGCCAUGUGAGCCCCUUGCAUACACCUGUUUCGCCUUCCACUUUCCCCAUGAGAUGAAGCAGCAUAAGACCCUCGCCAGUUGUGCUGCCCGAUCUCGGACUUUUCAGACACAAGCAGGGUGAGCCAAAUAA